UCAACUGCUCUGGACUGGCGCCGGCCCCUCAAGCCCGCAGAUUCCAGGCCUUGCUUACUCAAGCUGGGUCCGGCUCAGAACGACCCCUCACCAUACGGGCGUUGUGCCGCGCUGCCUCAUUUCUACUCCCGCCGGGGUCGGACCUUAAAUCCUGGCAGGCCCACGUUCCACAUGUCCAUUUAUUUGUUCAUUUGUGUGUGUUCGUGGGUCGGUGCGCCCUUCUUCGGCCGCGGCACGUGCAGAGUUAAGGCGGGAGGAGGUUUCCCAGAGCCUGGGGAAGGGGGAGCGAGGGGCGGACCCGGUCCAGCCCCGCCCCACGCCCGAGCGGUGCGGGAGCCCCGCCGGAGCUCGGCUACAGCCCUAGCCAGAGCCGGCGUCAGCGGAGGCGGAACGGCGGACCCCGUGCCCCGGCGGCACGGAACCCCGGCGGGUGGAGGCAAUUCCCUGGACUGCUCAGACACUCCUCGCAUCCUUGGCAGAAUCAAGAUGAGACUCUAUCAUGUCUCCCCAGUAAGGCCUACAGCCUGAGCAGAUAGCAUGGCCUGCCACAGCAGUGAAUGACAUGGCUGCAGGUGGUGGCUGCACCUUUGCUUGGCAGGUGUUUCCCCCCAUGCCCACUUGCCGGGUGUAUGGAACAGUGGCGCACCAGGAUGGGCAGGUGCUGGUGUUGGGGGGCUGUGGCCGGUCUGGGUUACCCUUGGAUACUGCCGAAACACUGGACAUGGCCUCGCACACAUGGCUGGCACUGGCGCCUCUGCCCACUGCCCGAGCUGGUGCAGCUGCUGUGGUUCUGGGCAAGCAGGUGCUAGUGGUGGGGGGUGUGGAUGAAAUCCAGAGUCCAGUAGCUGCUGUGGAGGCCUUCCUAGCUGAUGAAGGCCGCUGGGAGCGUCGGGCCACCCUUCCUCAAGCAGCCAUGGGGGUUGCAACUGUAGAGAGAGAUGGUAUGGUGUAUGCCCUGGGAGGAAUGGGCCCUGACACGGCCCCCCAGGCCCAGGUACGGGUAUAUGAGCCCCGCCGUGACUGCUGGCUUUCGCUACCCUCCAUGCCCACACCCUGCUAUGGGGCUUCUACCUUCCUGCAUGGGAACAAGAUCUAUGUCUUGGGGGGCCGCCAGGGCAAGCUCCCAGUGACUGCUUUUGAAGCUUUUGAUUUGGAGGCCAGUACCUGGACCCGGCACCCGAGCCUCCCUAGCCGCCGGGCCUUUGCUGGCUGUGCCAUGGCUGAAGGCAAUGUUUUUAGCUUGGGUGGUCUGCAGCAGCCUGGGCCCCACAACUUCUACUCCCGUCCACAUUUUGUCAACACUGUGGAGAUGUUUGAUCUAGAGCAUGGGUCCUGGACCAAGCUGCCUCGCAGCCUGCGUAUGAGGGAUAAGAGGGCAGACUUUGUGGUUGGCUCCCUUGGGGGCCACAUCUUGGCCAUCGGGGGUCUUGGAAACCAGCCAUGCCCUCUUGGCUCCGUGGAGAGCUUCAGUCUUACACGUCGGCGCUGGGAGGCACUGCCUGCCAUGCCCACAGCUCGCUGCUCCUGUUCUAGCCUACAGGGCUUCAACUCUCCCAGAGAUAAGGGAGGUCUACAGGAAGCCUCUUGGAUCUGGUCUCUAUCCCCAAAGUGAUCUGGUGUCUCUGCCCCACAUAAGCCUCAGCUUUGCCUUAGGUGACAUUGGAUGACAGCCCUCUUCUACUAUCUUGGAUGUUCUGGACACAGUGGCCACCCCGGGAUGGCUGGCAGAAGUUUUGCUGGUAGGUGGUGCUCACAUGGGGAGGCUGAACCUGCACAAAGUGGACGAGGCGCUGUGGGAAGCUACUGAAUCCUGGGCCUGGCCGGAAAUCGGACUGGUAGGAAGAUUCCAGGGGCUGCUGGCUCAACUCCAGCUCGCAAGGUGCCCAGCGAAGGAAGGUGUGCCGCUGCCAGAGGCGCUCCAGGUCUUUCCGUCUUCCAAUUCCCUGCAGCAGGCAGUAGGGGCCCUCCUCAACGGUAUGGGCCCUUGGCCCACAGUCUUGGCACCAAGCAUUUCCUUGGGCCCCAUCUAAUCCCAAAUCUGUUUGGUGAUGCCUAGCCCAUACCUGGCCUCCCUGGCCUGUCCCCUGUCCUCAUUGGCUUGCCUCCUCAGUGAUGGGAACCAUUCUGUUAUGGAAAUGGGGUCCUGAAAAUCCAGUGGCCCCCAGCAGACUUGCAUAUCGUAUUGGGGCAAGUUGGCAGAGGAAACCAAAACAGAGGUACCACUCUUAAAAGAAUAAGAGAUUUCCCAGAGGAGAAAUAUUGUGGGGGAAAUAGGCACUCCUCUGCCUGUUUAAAGAACCCUCCCUUUCUUCAGGAUCUUAAUUCACUCCACCCUACCAACUGCUGUGUGCUCAACUUCCACUUGGGCUGGGGGAUUGUCUCUUCUCUUGCCUGUCUGUAGCACUCACUUUGUCAAAAGAAGUGCGGUUGUCAUGCUUGGAGAAAAAGUGUUGCUGUGCUGGUUCCUUGAAAAAUAAUGAGAAAGAAGGGGAAGGGGGGAAAUGAUGCUUACCUUCUCCCCCAGAUAUUGCCUCAGUGUCCAUAAUGGAGGGAAGCUUCAGGAGCUACCACUUCUAAACUGCUAAACUGUCAACACUCUGAAAGGUCAGAGACAAAUUAAAGCAGUACCUUACUCCCUGGAUAUUUCAUUCUGGGACUUUCCCUGAAGCAGUAGUUUCUGAGGCCACCGGUUGAGGAGUGGGCUGAGACAUCUAUCAGGACAUCCUGCCAUAAGUGGGGCCCUUUAACACUAGAUUGCAAAGCCUUUUCUCUGUCCACACUUACUCCCUUUACAGCAUAACCAUGCUCUGAACCCUACAUUCUAUCUGGAACUACAAUUUUUGUCUCUAGCUCAAGCUGUCUCCUGAACCCCAGUCUCAAGAGCCAACUGUCUUCCACAUUUCCAUGUCAACUCUUGAUAGUAUAUCCAAACAACUUUGGAUCAUCCUCCAGACCCAUUCUACCUACAGCCUCUCCCAGCUUAAGCAAUGGCAGUUAGGUCCUGUCAAACACCUCAGAGUCCCCUUGGUUCUUUUCUCUCACAUUCCACAUUCAAUGUACCAAGAAAUCCAAUUGAUAUUUCCUUAAAAGUGUAUCCAGGAUCAAAUUACUCCUCAGCAUGUCCAGACUUUUCUCUGGUCCAAACCACCUUAUUUUCUUGCCUGAAUUAUUUCAAGAGCUUCCUGCCUGGUGUCCCUGCUUUCAAGCUCACCUUACCACCCUAAUCUGUGGUCUUCUUAGUAGAAAGAAAUUCUUUUAGUACAUGAAUCAGAUCACAUCUUGUUUGCCACAAAAGUUUUGCAUGUUUUUUUUUUUUUGUUGUUGUUGUUGUUUUGUUCUUAGUUGUAGAUGGACAGCAAGCCUUUAUUUUAUUUUUUUAAUGUGGUUCUAAGGAUUGAAUUCAGUGCCUCACACUGGAUUCAAGUGCUCUGCCACUGAGCUACAGCCCCAGCCCCAGUUCUUUGUGUUUGUAACAGCCAGAGUUAUAGUAGUAGUUCAUGAGACCCACAUGAUACUGAUUUUUCCCUAUUGAUCCUACCUCCAGUCACAGUAGCAUUCUCCCUGCUCCCCAAACAUGCCAGAUACUUCCUCCUCAGGCCUUUGCUCCACUAGUUUCUUCUGCUGGCCAUGGAGUUCCCUUUUACUUACCUCUUGAGAGACAUUCCUUUAGUUUUGUACCAGUAGUCCCAUCUCCUCAACUCCAUGUUUUCUGCUUCCUAACACACUCUAUAUAAUGAUAUUGCCUGUCCUCCGAUGCCUUUCAUUGGAACAUAAGCUCUUUGCUCUCUGCUUUGCUUACUCCAGCCAGGCAUAGUAGUACAAACCUGUAAUCCCAGCAGUUUAUGAGGCCGAGACAGGAAUAUCACAAGUUUGAUGCCAAACUUGUGAUCAACGACUUAGUGAGGCUCUCAGUAACUUAGUGAGACCUUGUCUUAAAAUUAAAAAAAAUAAAAAGGACUGGAGAUAUGGCUCAGUGGUGAAGUGCCCUUGGGUUAAAUAACCAGUACCUAAAUAAAUAAAUAAAUUUUAUUUUAUUUAGAGAGAGAAUUAUUUUUUAAUAUUUAUUUAUUAUUUUUUUUAGUUUUCAGUGGACACAACAUCUUUGUAUGU